rnacentral:tRNA from 1 species
GCGAGGGUGGCGGAAUUGGCAGACGCGCUAGCUUGAGGGGCUAGUGGUAGUAAUACUGUGGGGGUUCAAAUCCCCCCCUUCGCA